rnacentral:rRNA from 1 species
AUGUUUUGGGGCACCCUGUUCCGCAACUGCAAGUGUGAGUGAAGAAGGCCUUCGGGUUGUAAAGCUCUUUUGUCAGGGAAGAAACACCGGCUCUAACACAGUCCGGGAAUGACGGUACCUGAAGAAUAAGCACCGGCUAACUACGUGCCAGCAGCCGCGGUAAUACGUAGGGCGCAAGCGUUAAUCGGAAUUACUGGGCGUAAAGCGUGCGCAGGCGGUUAUACAAGACAGGCGUGAAAUCCCCGGGCUUAACCUGGGAAUGGCGCCUGUGACUGUAUAGCUAGAGUGUGUCAGAGGGGGGUAGAAUUCCACGUGUAGCAGUGAAAUGCGUAGAUAUGUGGAGGAAUACCAAUGGCGAAGGCAGCCCCCUGGGAUAACACUGACGCUCAUGCACGAAA